rnacentral:rRNA from 1 species
CGAAAGCCUGACGGAGCAACGCCGCGUGUGGGAAGAAGGCCUUUGGGCUGUCAACCACUUUUCUCAGGGAAGAAGCUCUGACGGUACCUGAGGAAUCAGCCUCGGCUAACUCCGUGCCAGCAGCCGCGGUAAUGCGGAGGAGGCAAGCGUUAUCCGGAAUCAUUGGGCGUAAAGCGUUCGUAGGCGGCUGUUCAAGUCUGCUGUCAAAGACCGAGGCUCAACCUCGGGUCGGCAGUGGAAACUGGAUAGCUAGAGGUCGGUAGAGGCAGAGGGAAUUCCCAGUGUAGCGGUGAAAUGCGUAGAGAUUGGGAAGAACACCGGUGGCGAAAGCGCUCUACUGGGCCGUGACUGACCCUGAGGGACGAAAGCUAGGGGAGCG